GACGAACGCUGGCGGCGUGCUUAACACAUGCAAGUCGAACGAAGAGCGAUGGAAGCUUGCUUCUCUCAAUCUUAGUGGCGAACGGGUGAGUAACGCGUAAUCAACCUGCCCUUCAGAGGGGGACAACAGUUGGAAACGACUGCUAAUACCGCAUACGAUCUAAUCUCGGCAUCGAGGAUAGAUGAAAGGUGGCCUCUACAUGUAAGCUAUCACUGAAGGAGGGGAUUGCGUCUGAUUAGCUAGUUGGAGGGGUAACGGCCCACCAAGGCGAUGAUCAGUAGCCGGUCUGAGAGGAUGAACGGCCACAUUGGGACUGAGACACGGCCCAGACUCCUACGGAAGGCAGCAGUGGGGAAUCUUCCGCAAUGGACGAAAGUCUGACGGAGCAACGCCGCGUGAGUGAUGACGGCCUUCGGGUUGUAAAGCUCUGUUAAUCGGGACGAAAGGCCUUCUUGCGAAUAGUGAGAAGGAUUGACGGUACCGGAAUAGAAAGCCACGGCUAACUACGUG
rnacentral:rRNA from 1 species